rnacentral:tRNA from 1 species
GCCGGUGUAGCUCAGUUGGUUAGAGCGCAGGACUCAUAAUCCUGAGGUCGUGUGUCCAAUCCACACCACCGGUA